GGGGAUGGGGCUCAGUGGUAGAGCACUUGCCUUGCAUGUGUGAAGCUCUGGGUCCCAUCCCCA
rnacentral:tRNA from 1 species